rnacentral:rRNA from 1 species
GAGUUUGAUCCUGGCUCAGAAUGAACGCUGGCGGCAUGCCUAACACAUGCAAGUCGAACGAACCCUUCGGGGUUAGUGGCGCACGGGUGCGUAACGCGUGGGAAUCUACCCCUUGGUUCGGAAUAACAGCGAGAAAUUGCUGCUAAUACCGGAUGAUGACGUAAGUCCAAAGAUUUAUCGCCGAGGGAUGAGCCCGCGUAGGAUUAGCUAGUUGGUGUGGUAAAGGCGCACCAAGGCGACGAUCCUUAGCUGGUCUGAGAGGAUGAUCAGCCACACUGGGACUGAGACACGGCCCAGA